AGCGAACGCUGGCGGUAUGCUUAACACAUGCAAGUCGAGCGAGAAAAUGGCUUCGGCCAUGAGUAGAGCGGCGGACGGGUGAGUAAUACAUGGAUAAUCUGCCUUUAGGACCGGGACAACCCAGGGAAACUUGGGCUAAUACCGGAUAAGACCACAGAAUCUGCGGAUUCAGUGGUAAAAGGUGGCUUCGGCUAUCACCUAUAGAUGAGUCCAUGUCCCAUCAGGUAGUUGGUGAGGUAACGGCCCACCAAGCCAAAGACGGGUAGCCGACCUUAGCGGGUGAUCGGCCACACGGGGACUGAGACACGGCCCCGACUCCUACGGGAGGCAGCAGUGGGGAAUAUUGGACAAUGGGCGCAUGCCUGAUCCAGCAAUACCGCGUGAGGGAUGAAGGCUUUCGAGUCGUAACCUCUGUCAGUUGGACGAUGGGUCUGUAGGUUAAUACCCUGCAGACUUGACGGUACCUUCAAAGGAAGCCCCGGCUAACUCCGUG
rnacentral:rRNA from 1 species